rnacentral:rRNA from 1 species
AUACGGAGGGUGCAAGCGUUAUUCGGAAUCACAGGGCGGAAAGGACGCGUAGGCGGGUUGGCAAGUCAGAUGUGAAAUCCUACAGCUUAACUGUAGAACUGCAUUUGAAACUGCUAACCUAGAGUAUGGGAGGGGGAGAUGGAAUUAGUGGUGUAGGGGUAAAAUCCGUAGAUAUCACUAGGAAUACCGAAAGCGAAGGCAAUCUUCUGGAACACUACUGACGCUGAGGCGCGAAAGCGUGGGGAGCAAACAGGAUUAGAAACCCUAGUAGUCC